rnacentral:rRNA from 1 species
AGAGUUUGAUCAUGGCUCAGGACGAACGCUGGCGGCGUGCCUAACACAUGCAAGUCGAGCGGGAUAGUAGCAAUACUAUCUAGCGGCGGACGGGUGAGUAACACGUGGGCAACCUGCCCUAUGAUGGGGGAUAGCCAACCGAAAGGUUGAUUAAUACCGCAUAAUAAGUAAUCAUCACAUGGUGAUAACUUUAAAGGAGUAAUCCGUCAUAGGAGGGGCCCGCGGCCCAUUAGCUAGUUGGUGAGGUAACGGCCCACCAAGGCGACGAUGGGUAGCCGACCUGAGAGGGUGAUCGGCCACAUUGGAACUGAGACACGGUCCAGACUCCUACGGGAGGCAGCAGUGGGGAAUAUUGCGCAAUGGGGGAAACCCUGACGCAGCAACGCCGCGUGGAGGAUGAAGGCCUUCGGGUUGUAAACUCCUGUCUUCGCUGACGAUAAUGACGGUAAGCGAGGAGGAAGCCACGGCUAACUACGUGCCAGCAGCCGCGGUAAUACGUAGGUGGCGAGCGUUGUCCGGAAUUACUGGGCGUAAAGGGUGCGUAGGCGGAAUAUUAAGUCAGAUGUGAAAUCCCAGGGCUUAACCUUGGAGUGGCAUUUGAAACUGGUAUUCUAGAGUGCAGGAGAGGAAAGCGGAAUUCCUAGUGUAGCGGUGAAAUGCGUAGAUAUUAGGAAGAACACCAGUGGCGAAGGCGGCUUUCUGGACUGUAACUGACGCUGAGGCACGAAAGCGUGGGGAGCAAACAGGAUUAGAUACCCUGGUAGUCCACGCUGUAAACGAUGAGUGCUAGGUGUGGGGGG